rnacentral:rRNA from 1 species
CGCAUCUGUGCAUGCAGCAUAUCAAUAAGCGGAGGAAAAGAAACUAACAAGGAUUCCCUCAGUAACGGCGAGUGAAGCGGGAAGAGCUCAAAUUUGAAAUCUUGAAAGGUCACCUUACACGAAUUGUAGUUUAAAGAAGUGUUUUCUGUUACGAUCGUAAUAUAAGUUCUUUGGAAUAGGACAUCACAGAGGGUGAGAAUCCCGUCUAUGAUUGCGAUUUGUAGCUUUGUGAUACACUUUCAAAGAGUCGGGUUGUUUGGGAAUGCAGCCCAAAACGGGAGGUAAAUUUCUUCUAAGGCUAAAUAUUGGCGAGAGACCGAUAGCGAACAAGUACCGUGAGGGAAAGAUGAAAAGAACUUUGAAAAGAGAGUUAAAUAGUACGUGAAAUUGUCAAAAGGGAAGCGUUUAACACCAGUGUUGUUUUCUGAAAAUCAACCUCUGUUAGCUUUAUGCAUGUUUGUUUAGACCUAAUCAGCUAUCUUGCAUGUUCUAUUGUUUGCAGUGGUGCACUUUUCAGUUUACAGGUCAACAUCAGUUUUUUUUACCGUAAAAAAGUUAAAGAAAGGUAGCUCAUGGCUCCGGUCGUGAGUGUUAUAGUCUUUUUCCUAUGCGGUAGGAGAGACUGAGGUCUGCAGUGUAGGCUAUUUGGCUAGAUACUCAGGUGCUAUGUGAUACCAUUUCAUAAACAACUUGUUGAUUAUGUUUUGUCUAUUGCAUACUCGCUUGUACUAUCAUACCUACGCUUAGGAUGUUGACGAUCAGCUGAGCGCG